rnacentral:rRNA from 1 species
UACGUAGGGGGCAAGCGUUGUUCGGAUUCAUUGGGCGUAAAGGGUGCGUAGGCGGCGCGGUAAGUCGGGUGUGAAAUCUCGGAGCUUAACUCCGAAACUGCAUUCGAUACUGCCGUGCUUGAGGACUGGAGAGGAGACUGGAAUUUACGGUGUAGCGGUGAAAUGCGUAGAUAUCGUAAGGAAGACCAGUGGCGAAGGCGGGUCUCUGGACAGUUCCUGACGCUGAGGCACGAAGGUCAGGGGAGCAAACGGGG